AUUAUGGAGAGUUUGAUCCUGGCUCAGGACGAACGCUGGCGGCGUGCCUAAUACAUGCAAGUCGAGCGGAGCACUUCGGUGUUUAGCGGCGGACGGGUGAGUAACACGUAGGCAACCUGCCUAUAAGACUGGGAUAACUAU
rnacentral:rRNA from 2 species